CGCGUGCGGGAUGUAGGCCUUCGGGUUGUAAACCGCUUUUGAUUGGGAGCAAGCCUUCAGGUGAGUGUACCUUUCAAUAAGCGCCGGCUAACUACGUGCCAGCGCCCGCGGUA
rnacentral:rRNA from 1 species